GGCGUCGAGCGGCGGACGGGUGAGUAAUGCCUAGGAAAUUGCCCUGGUGUGGGGGAUAACCAUUGGAAACGAUGGCUAAUACCGCAUAAUACCUACGGGUCAAAGAGGGGGACCUUCGGGCCUCUCGCGUCAGGAUAUGCCUAGGUGGGAUUAGCUAGUUGGUGAGGUAAUGGCUCACCAAGGCGACGAUCCCUAGCUGGUCUGAGAGGAUGAUCAGCCACACUGGAACUGAGACACGGUCCAGACUCCUACGGGAGGCAGCAGUGGGGAAUAUUGCACAAUGGGCGCAAGCCUGAUGCAGCCAUGCCGCGUGUGUGAAGAAGGCCUUCGGGUUGUAAAGCACUUUCAGUCGUGAGGAAGGUAGUGUAGUUAAUAGCUGCAUUAUUUGACGUUAGCGACAGAAGAAGCACCGGCUAACUCCGUGCCAGCAGCCGCGGUAAUACGGAGGGUGCGAGCGUUAAUCGGAAUUACUGGGCGUAAAGCGCAUGCAGGUGGUUUGUUAAGUCAGAUGUGAAAGCCCGGGGCUCAACCUCGGAAUAGCAUUUGAAACUGGCAGACUAGAGUACUGUAGAGGGGGGUAGAAUUUCAGGUGUAGCGGUGAAAUGCGUAGAGAUCUGAAGGAAUACCGGUGGCGAAGGCGGCCCCCUGGACAGAUACUGACACUCAGAUGCGAAAGCGUGGGGAGCAAACAGGAUUAGAUACCCUGGUAGUCCACGCCGUAAACGAUGUCUACUUGGAGGUUGUGGCCUUGAGCCGUGGCUUUCGGAGCUAACGCGUUAAGUAGACCGCCUGGGGAGUACGGUCGCAAGAUUAAAACUCAAAUGAAUUGACGGGGGGCCCGCACAAGCGGUGGAGCAUGUGGGUUUAAUUCGAUGCAACGCGA
rnacentral:rRNA from 1 species